rnacentral:lncRNA from 1 species
GUGCAUUCCUUUAGAAUACUGGCAUUGCCAGGAGAAGGUUGCUCUUCCUUAGGUGCAAACUCCUCCUCUUACUGUCCUAGAGUUCCACCUACAACGCAGGCCAGUGUGUUCUGAAAGGAGCUCACCCUCUUAACUUUUACUGGAAUAGCUCAGAGGACAAACUGCAGGAACCCUCUUCACUAACCUCUGCUUCACCCCUUUUAAGCUGUGAGUUUGAAGUUGUUUUGUGUUGAGAUAUGUUUUUUUCAAAACUGUCUUUUCAGCGUUAUCAUUUUUAAAAAGCUUGUUUAACUUUUAUGUAUGCACUUGGCAAUGAGUUACUAUAAAGCAAAUAAAACGAUGUCCCAGCUGCCUGGAAGGAGUGAUACGGCAGAUAGCAUUCACACCCUCAUCUUUGUAUUCCAUUCCUUCAAGGAUAUCAGUAAGUAAACAGUACCGAGACGCUAAUAUGUUUAAUAAAGAAACAAUUUCUUGGGUCUCAUGUUGUAACUGUGAGAAAGGUAACUCUUUCUUCCUAUUUUUUGUUCAGGUGUUUUUCACUGAUAUUGUCCAUUUGGUAUCGGUCUGGAUGACCGCCAGAGUCAGGAGUGUUCUGAAAACUUAGAACCGUCUCUAUGGGUGUCUGUAACCAAGGGAGUUCAAAAGGUAGUAGUGAGUUAGGCUGGUUUCACCUGGGGGAGAGGGCUGGUUUCAAGUACAGGCACCCUAAAGAAUGAAGUGUUUAGUGAUGUAUUAAAAUUAAAUCUCUUUGAAGUGUUUCUACUCCAAAGAUGCUAUCUGCUAGGGUACUCUCCUGAGACACGGGCAUGAACUGGAGUUGUAUCUGAUGUGCUCUUGCACAGCUCCUGUUCAUUUCAGUGAACUGUGUGGAGGAGCUCUUCUUGACUGAAUAUACCCUUGGAGCAGUGGGCCUCUGUAGGGAAGCGUGGCCUGUUUUUAAUGUAGAAGCAAGUUCUUUCCUGACUCCGUCCAGGACAUGUAUUGGUGGGUCCAGAAACGCAGUACCAACCUCCCCUUUUAAUCAUGCAGUAUUGAGCAGCUGCAGCCAUUACUCCGAGUGCAGCAUCCUCUUUUUGCUCUGCUGGCAUAAUGUCUAAAGCUCAGUCGAGUUUGCAAAGCUUUUAAUAUGUGACCUUCUCUCCUGAUACAACAGCAAGACCAGGACAAUCAGAAAAAAAGAAAUCCUCCAACUGCCCCUUAAAGCCUUUUGGGGUCCACAUUGACCUUCGCCUUGCUUUUUGAUACAGUCUUUUUGGAAAUUCUGUUGUGCGUGCCCUGUUGAAAUGAGCAGUAGCGGUAUAAUUACAAGGGUUGGGCUAGAUGAUCAUUAAUAUUUGGCAUAUAGUUGUUAAGGCAGUGAUCCACUGCUGCCUCUGAGCAGAUGUCCCAGACAAAAAGAAGUGCAGACAGAUCCAAAAGGCAUGUUUAAAUCACACAACUUCCCUCAGAGUAUUCUGGGAAUUGUAGUUUCCCUUCACAGGGCUAUAAUUCCUAGAACCCUUAACAAGCUACAGUUCACAGGAUUGUUUGGAGGAAACCAUGUGCUUUAAAUGUGCAUUUGGUGUCCUUUAAAUGUACGGUGUGGAUCUGCCUUAAGUCACCAUCUCUCCUAGAAAAAAGGUUAUGGGGCAAUAUGUGCUUUCUGUUGAAUGAGAAAGAGAGUGGGGUGGCCAUCUUGUAUAUCCCCCCCCCCCCAGUACUGAGGAAGGUUCCCUAUUGGUAUGACCCCUGGCAGUUAGGUGCAGUCAAAGGCAAUUAUGGGGUGUGUCACUCAUCUCACUUGAGGCUAAGGGAGUCUGUGUUUGCCCACAGACACCUUUGCAUUACUAUAUGUUGGACCAAUGACCUUACACAAAUGCCCCCAAUAUAAGAACGAUGUGAUGAAUGUGAAGCUUUAUGUACACAGCACAUGUUGUGGCUGUAUGAUCCUAGCUGUGGUGAAAGAAACCCUAGGGUCUGCAGUCGCAAAGUUCAAUCUGUUAGAGAAGUAGGAAGAAUGGGAGGGGCAGGAGAACAAGUGAGAAGUAACAAUGCCUCGUCUAGAAUGGUCCAGCUCAUUGAAAAGAUGGUUUGACUAUAUAUGUACUUUAAUAACCUACUUGCUUACUUAAACUUUUAAUAUUUAAUAUUUGUUUGUGUAAGGUUGACAUCUUGCGGCAGCUCAUGACAACGGUUUUAAAAAUUUAUUAUUUUAGUGAUUAUUUUUAUAAUUAUGAUGAAUAUCCAUCUUGCAUUUGUAAGUAGGAAGGUGGCUUGGAACAGGAUUUUUUUCUUUAAAAAGAAACUUCCUUCUACUGAGUCAGAGAAACAUUUGAUGUAGCCAAGUCCUAUCUCUCAGAAGAGUCUCAAGCAGAGGACUUUCCCAGCCAUGUGUCUUGACAUAACAAACACAGGAAGGAUUUCACUGAUCGAACUACUUCUUCCUUGCUAUGUGUAUGAUUUGAUUCUGUGGAUUUACUGCUCAGUUUCAUUACACUAAUGCAGUUCAGAGAGAAAAAAAGUCCCCAAUGUCUUAACACCUGGAUUAUUUUUAAGUUUUAAAAUAUGUCUCUACAUAGUCUAAGGAUCCCAAGCCUAUUUUCUCAGAUGGUAUAAUAAGCAUGCAAGGGCUUAUCUCCUAAUCAAUGUAGCAUCUGAAAAGAGCUUUUUUCCCCUGUGUGUUGAAAAAUACCAUGAACAUUUUUUUCAUAGCUUUCAUGUUAUGUGAUUUGUUUAAUGUUCUCUUGCCUUUGGCAAGUCUUAGAAAAUUAUUUUCCCUUUAAAAGGCCGUCACCUCUUAGAUGGUGCAAGGGAGUUGUUAUAUUCCUCUGUUAUUUUUUUCUAUAUAUUUACUUAUCAAUUCUAUUCUCUGAAUAGUUGUUGAAAGAACAAAAGUUUGUAAAUUAUACAACACCAAACAGUGAAUCCAGUCCAUGGCAGCAAGCCCAGACACUGUCAGAUGGUUUUUCCUUUUCCUGGCUGGUUCUUGACAAUUAUUACGGAUUACAGAAGUGUUAACAUUUCUGUAUUUAAACAUUUUUGGUUGUUGUUUCUGUUAAGCAUAGUCUGUACUCUAUUCUACAGCAAGUAGCCUUUUGUUAAACAGAAGGGUUGGCAUUAAAUUACUAUAUUUCUGAUAGAGAUUGGGAGUCAAAAGACCCAGGUUUCACUGUCUGUUCCUGAGCCCUAUGUUAAUUGUACACCAUAAUGUUUUUUAUUCCCCCAUGUAGCUAUCAAAUCCAAAUGCUUUUGAUUCAUUUUAUAUAUUAAUUUUCCAAAUUUCUUAUGCAAAAAUGAAAUUAGUCAUUUACUUAUGCUUAAGGGAAAAUAGUGACAAAGUAUAUAUUGUUCUUUCUACAAUAUCAUGCUUGUUUUAGUAGAUUCCCACCCAAUCUAUUGAUUCAUUGGUUUGGGUAAAGAGCUGCUUAGUGUUCCCUAAAAUGGAGUGAUCUCUUAUGAGGAAGUUACUACCAUUCUGCUUGAGAGCACACUCAAUUAUCUUGACUUGCCGAUUUUUGCCUCUGGUACCUACUUCCUUCUGAGGCUUCUACAAGGUCUCAGCACUCAGAUAUUUAAUUCAAAAAGUUGCUAUCUAGCAGCCCUUGCAAGGGAAUAUAGAAUAUGUUGUUCUUGAUAAGAGCGCUCUAGCUAACUCUUUCUAUCAAUGACUGAGAUCCUGGAAUGCUGAACAGUAACUGCAGCAGCUAACAGGAUGUAAAUUACAGGUCCAGAAGCUGAAUAUUCAGUGUCCAGGAGUUUCUUAAAGAUUCAGUUUGGAAUGGAGAUGGCAGACUACAGAGCAAUCCUGGUGAGGGGUUGGGGGUGCAGAGCACUGGACUCAUCACUCUAUCUGCAGCCCUGCUGGCCAGGGCGGAAUGGGUGUGCCCCCCUUUUUUUGCUGAACUAGCUGCGGGCUGCAGCAGAGAGCCCCUCACCAGAAAAUGGUGGAUUCAAAAUAGCUUUGAACCCAGUUGAUGACUAGCCCUGCUCUUCCCCUGCCCCAGUGGAGGCUUCAAUGGCAGUGAUGCCCAACUGAAGGACUCCUCUGUUUAAUACUAUUCCCUCUGAGAAUGGAUUAAGAUUGCAGCCUUAGUCUCUGUUGCAGUUAUCAAGUUAAAUAUGAGAUCCUGGGAUAAAGAAGGAAUCAAUAACUGAUUCCCAUGUUUUGAAAACAUGAAACCCACCUAUUAACCAAGUCUGUCUCAAGCCUAAGAGAAACAUAAAACCUCCUGCUUAGGUAGAACUCGGAUGCAAAGAGAAACACGGUAGUCUUUGUAUUAGCAAAGCCAGAGAUUAGUUUUUCAUGAUGCACUUUAUGUGGAACUGUUUUUGAAGUUGGUCUGGUAAGUUUAGCUGGUGCAGAAUGUUGCUGACAGCAGCACAGCUGCACUGACUGCCUUUAUAUUUCUGUGACCAAUUCAAAAUUCUGGUUUAAUAUGGAUCCGGGCAGCAAUAUCAGAUGGAGCAUCUGAGUGUGCUUCUUCCAAGAGAUGUCCACAUGGGAGAGUUCCUUUUACUGGUUGUAUUUCUCUCAAACCCCCCACUCC